CUUUCGUCUCUGUGAUUACCACUUCUUUGCCGGUAUUUCUUCUGGAGCCCUCCACAUAUGCUAAAUCCUUAGCCAUGAUGAGUAGGCAGCAAGCCCCUCUUGCACACAACAAAGACUUCUAUUUUUUUUUUUUUUUUAUCUUUUGGGCGACACGAUAAAAAAUAACCCUGUAUUUAUGCAAAUUGCAAAGUAGCGUGUGAUAAUGAAAACAAAACAGUGCUGGCCCGCAGCCAAGGCAUGGCACUGACAGGGGCUCCCGACCAUUUGGCUCUUGAUUCUUCAGGGAAAGCAGCUGUAGAGAAAGGGGCAUACACAACACCGGCGUCACCCGCGCACUCACACGCGCGCACCCUCGUUCGCACGCAUUCCGGUACCGUCACCUCGGAGCCAGCCAGCCUUGGGAUCCAAAUCCAGUUCGGCUGCCUUCCGCCACCGGCACUCCAGUCGUCGUCCCCCACGAGCCUCCCUGCCCCCUGCUCCCGAUUCCCUUUCAGGAAUUUACAAACAUUUUCCACAGAUCAAUAUCUGUAUUGAUUAUUCAUUGUGAGGGAGUCGUGUGUCUUUGGUGAUCCAGCUUGCAGAGGUAGCAGCCAAAGCCUGCGGCAGGGGAGAAAAAAACAACAGAAGGCGAGAGGGACCCAGCUCUUGCUGGGUCUGCGGCUGUCGACAACACAGAAAGGAAGAAAGAGGAAGAAGCUGGCAAACGAAGGAACGGAUGAGGGUGGAGGAGAAAGAGGGAGCAACAGCAAGAAAAACCAAGCCAUGGCUGCACAUCUGGUCCCAGGGCUUGGCUGGGAGGAAACCCCCAUCUUGGGUCUGCUGUUCCGUUCACGGUGCCCUGGGCUCCCUCUGCUUGGGGAGCCAGAAGUGACUCACAGUUUUGGUAUCUCCUACGUAAGAGCUUUGGGGGGAUUCCUUGGCUUGCUGACAGGAGAGGAAGAAAGCAGCAGCAGUGAGGUAAAACACGAUUACUUCCAACUGCCUGGCGGAGGACACGCAGUCGCUUGGCUUGCCUGGAACAGCUUGCAGCUCUGUGAUGGCACGCGGAGGGAGAAUAAUUAAAAAGGCCAGCAUCACUUACUAAGAAACUGCUGCAAUGCUACAGAAAAAUGCUAGGAAGAGGAGGCUGAGGAAAUUCAGUUUUCUGGUGUCUGGGCGCUAGGCAAACUGUGCCAGGUGACUUAUCCUUGCCAUUUGGACCGCCAUGUGGGAGCGAGUUUGGGAUUCCUCUUCCCUUGUCACCCAGCUGUGGCUUGAUACCUCAGUACAUUGCAAGUUUCCUGAGCAGGAGACAUACAUCCUGCAGAAGUGUGCCUUGGAGACUCAAAGGAGGAGAAAUUAAGCCAGUUGUGGAUGACUUGGAUAUCUUACACUGCAUGUCUUCAGCAUUCAUAGAGACCUAUGUCUGCAGGGUCUGUGUGUGUGUGUGUGUGUGUGUGUGUGUGUGUGUGUUUGCAUGUGACAUCAUCAUGUUGAGUGUGUGCUCACAUGUGUAUGGCUCUGUUGUCUGUGUGUCUUUAGAGAGGAAGGAAGAGAGUGAAGUCAGAGCAGACGGAAUGUUGGGGCAUUUAUGUAAUUCAUGCAGAGACUGUUCAACGCUGCAAGGCAGACAGCCACCCAUUCCUGGACUCUGCUGCUCUGGAGGGCCUGUCCGGACCUGAUCUGAAUGUUAAAUGCAGGAGAUGAAAUUAGCAUACUAACCAAGAAUGUCAACCCCUCCCUGCAAUCAGUAAAUGGCCGUCUCCUCUCUUUCAAGCCGGCACCGCUACGCGCGCCAGCCACUUAACCAUGUCCUCUGUCAGGUCCCUUUUUGUGUUUGUUUUUUUGUUUUUGUUUUUUGAUGAAAGACUGGAAAUUCAUUAAUGAGGAGGGAAGGAAGGGCUUCAAGGGGCUGUAAUGAAAACAAAUGAUCCUCUUUAAAUCUCAUGUCGGCCAAAGCUGAGGUUGGGGGGGGUGGGUGUUGCUUUCUGUUUUGGGGCUGGAGAAUAGGAAAUUCCACAGACAACAGACCACUUGACAAGAGCCCAAGAAUGCACUGCUUGGGAAUUUCUUCUAUGUCGCAAAGACCGGCCAUGGCCAGUAAGUCUGUGUUAAUAAAACUGAGAAUGAGCUUUAUCUUCUGAACUGUAAAGUGUGGUCUACCAGAUGUCUUUGCAUGCCGUCACAGGUCAUCAAAGUUUCUUGACCUUGUUGAGGCUAGGACGAGCCUUCUGGAAUCUUUUGGCUGCUUGCCUCAGCUUUUGAAGUAAUACAAAUUUUUCUUUGGGGCUAUGCUUUUGGCCUUUCCCAAAGGAAGUUGUUGCUUUUAUUUUAAUCUCUAUCAUACAACUAAGUACACAAAGGAAAAGAUUUAACUUCCACUACUGUAGAGCCCUGUAUUAGGGCAGACAGAAUGCUAAGAGCUAACAAUCAGGUACUCCAGCCCAGGUAUUGGGACUUCCUUUUUCUUUAUUUUAGGCACUAUUGUUAGAAACAAACUUCUCCCCUUCCGUUGUGUUAUACUUGGUUUGACUUUAACCUAGGGGUCACACACUUUGAAAUCUCCAGGGAUCUGUGGGUACCAGCCUAAGGAGGCAUGGGGUCACAAAGAAUCAGACACAACUGAGUCACACACACAUACACAUCCACACACACAGGGCUUGGGAUGACAUGGAGACAGAGCCAUUUGUUUUUAUUUAGGGGAAUAAAGGCCCUGCCUUGUGUUGCCUGAUCUUCCAAUGUUCCAAGAGGCAGUAGAAAUUGGUAUGUUUAAAUGUAAAAAAAUAUCAAAUUUUAAAUGUUGGCUGUUAUUAGUGUUAUUUUCUAAACAGUCUACAGAUCAAAUAAAGCACAUCUGUCUGUGGGGACAGCCUGGGCCUACGGUGUGCUGGUUUGCAAUCUUCAUUUUAGUCUAAAAUAGCUACCACAGGUGUUUUUUGUUAACUUUGUAGUCUUUUAAAUGCCAAGUCUUUCUGAGAAAUGUUUUAAUUAAAAAAUAUAGAUAUUAGCAACUGCAUGGCAAAUAUCAUGGGAGUGUGUUUUGUUGGACUGAGAGAGAAGUGCUAAUUUAAAACAAUCAAGCGGGGAAGGAAAUGGAUAUUUGGAGGGCCUGUUGGUCUGCUGGUCACUGGCACCUUAGCAGGCAGGGUCUAAUGUCUUCAUUAUUUAAGGUAGUGAUCACACAACAGAGAUUUUUCACAAAGGUUGUAAGUGGGAGGAUUAAAUAUUUAGAAAGAAAUAUGUUUGAAUAUUUUCAUGUGUAUCCCUUCCAAUAUUUAAGGUAGUGAUUAGUCCUAUUUUAACAUUAAAAAAAAUUAAAAACAUUUCUCUUCUUAUUUACCCACAGAACUCUUCAUUGCAAGUAAAAAAAAAGAUAGGAAAAAAAAAAGAUAGACAUCCCCAGAAAAG
ensembl:lncRNA